rnacentral:tRNA from 1 species
GCGCACUUAACUCAGCUGGUAGAGUGUCACCUUGACGUGGUGAAAGUCAGGGGUUCGAGUCCCUUAGUGCGCACCA